UUGCUAACUAUUACAUCAUUUCAAAAACACCUGCUGUGAGACGAGAGCAGGGAUUAAGGAACGAAAAUCAUAUUGCUCCAUGUUUUUUAUUAUUCUAUUUGUGUUAUCAGAGGUUUAUUAAGUAGAAAAGUAAUAUUUUAGCAACUGAAGAUGUCAAAUUACGUGUGUCUGAGACAUGAUAAUGUGGCGGCGUGGAAAGACUUUACCAGAAAUGCCGUAAAACUUCUUGAUCUCUAUAGACAUUUAUUAGAGACAUAUGUUUUGGAUUUUUUUACAAGAGAUUUAUGGUCAAAACUUAAUCCAAGCUGGCAAGAAGUUCUUGAUACAAUAACUUCAAGCAAUUUGGCAGAUUUUUUGUCUCAGGAUAAAUCUUUCAGCCAACAGAAGGUUUGGCCGCUCUCUCUACUUGCAUUUCGAGCUUCUUGCAACGCAUACACUCUCCCAAGGAAGCCAGUGACCUCAGCAGAACCCUUCACAGAAUACAUUAGACGACAAGGAUUUGCUCAAGAAGUUUCAGAGACUGUUGAUAAUGAAACUACAUCUGAAAGAAAUUGCCAAAUAAAUUCAGAAGACAGUAAUUCCAUUGAUAGUACCGGGUUGACAGGAUCAUCACAUCCCCUGCAGCAGAUAACCGUUAACUGGGGAACUGCAGAUAAUGAGUUAAGUGCAGCUGCUGGUCAACACAAGUUACUACAACAUGUGUUUCGCAGACACCUAAAACCCAAGAAGCAGCAUGAGGUCGCCCGCUUAUCAUUAGUGGCUGGGUAUGUGGCUCGUACGACAUGCGAUGGAGUGAUGGUGGAUGUCGGGUCAGGUCAGGGACACCUCUCGAGGCUCCUGGCCUAUGGACACGAUGUGAGAGUUGUGUGUCUGGAAGCACAGGAUGAGUUCAUCAGGGGAGCAAAAAAAUUUGACAAUCAGUUAGAGUUAGCAGCAGAGAAGAUGAAGAGGAGGUAUGCGUCUCUCCCCGAACUGCCGCCUUCUCCCCGCCACACCGUGUGCCAUCUGGAACCAGACAUGAGUCAUGAGGCGUUUAAAGAAGCUGUAACAGGAGCGUGGCCUGAAUUAGAAGGAAGGGGAGGCGUGUGCGGUCUUUUAGGGUUGCACACCUGUGGGAACUUGGCACCCACUAUGCUGAGAAUCUUCACUAACAUGCCCACAUGCCAUGCAGUUGUAUCUGUUGGCUGUUGUUACAUGAAACUGGAUACGGUUAGUGAUGUGACAAAAGACCCAGGAUAUCCCAUGAGUAAAGCAGUGCAGACAAUAGCAGGGAAUGAGCUAAGUUACGAAGCUCGCGAAGUUGCAUGCCACGCCAUUGAAAUGUACGCGGAACGACUACAUUUAGGAGCUGAUAAUCUUAAGGUGCACUGCUACAGAGCUGCACUAGAAGAGAUUAUUGUGAGAUAUUGGCCAGAACUGAGUCAUGCGGGCUUACGCUCAGUGAACCAUGCGCAUGAAAUGGAGUUUCCUGUGAGGUCACAAUUAGCCCACCUGGAUUUCGCCAAGAAAAGGCACGAUGUCUCAGGACAUCACCCAGGUCUGGGGAUAUUUUCCAACCACGUGAUAGGACAUCAACCAGUGCGAAUGGGUUAAGAAUGAUAAUCACCUGACAGAUGUGAAUGGAAAGCAUAAUCAAUGGGGCUUUCACAAAGGUAUGCUAAAGCAGCCAUUGCACGACUGAAUGAUGUAACACUGCCAGAAGAGGACUUAACUAGUGAAAGAACAAACCAUAAUCUUUCUCGUUGGAUGC
rnacentral:misc_RNA from 1 species